rnacentral:rRNA from 1 species
AGCGAACGCUGGCGGCAGGCUUAACACAUGCAAGUCGAGCGGGCGUAGCAAUACGUCAGCGGCAGACGGGUGAGUAACGCGUGGGAACGUACCUUUGGUUCGGAACAACACAGGGAAACUUGUGCUAAUACCGGAUAAGCCCUUACGGGGAAAGAUUUAUCGCCGAAAGAUCGGCCCGCGUCUGAUUAGCUAGUUGGUGAGGUAACGGCUCACCAAGGCGACGAUCAGUAGCUGGUCUGAGAGGAUGAUCAGCCACAUUGGGACUGAGACACGGCCCAAACUCCUACGGGAGGCAGCAGUGGGGAAUAUUGGACAAUGGGGGGCAACCCUGAUCCAGCCAUGCCGCGUGAGUGAUGAAGGCCCUAGGGUUGUAAAGCUCUUUUGUGCGGGAAGAUAAUGACGGUACCGCAAGAAUAAGCCCCGGCUAACUUCGUGCCAGCAGCCGCGGU